rnacentral:rRNA from 1 species
UACGGGGGGAGCAAGCGUUGUUCGGAUUUACUGGGCGUAAAGGGCGCGUAGGCGGUCGUGACAAGUCACUUGUGAAAUCUCCGGGCUUAACUCGGAACGGUCAAGUGAUACUGUCGUGCUAGAGUACAGAAGGGGCAACUGGAAUUCUCGGUGUAGCGGUGAAAUGCGUAGAUAUCGAGAGGAACACCUGCGGCGAAGGCGGGUUGCUGGGCUGAUACUGACGCUGAGGAGCGAAAGCGUGGGGAGCGAACAGG